GAUGAACGCUAGCGGCAGGCCUAAUACAUGCAAGUCGAACGGUCCGCUUCGGCGGAUAGUGGCGCACGGGUGCGUAACACGUAUGCAACCUACCUUACAUUGGGGGAUAGCCUUUCGAAAGGGAGAUUAAUACCGCAUAAGACAGUAGCUGGGCAUCCAGUAGCUGUUAAAGAUUUAUCGAUGUAAGCUGGGCAUGCGUCCAAUUAGUUAGUUGGUGAGGUAACGGCUCACAAAGACGAUGAUUGGUAGGGGAGCUGAGAGGUCAAUCCCCCCCACUGGCAACGAGAUACGGGCCAGACUCCUACUGGAGGCAGCAGUAGGGAAUAUUGGGCAAUGGACGCAAGUCUGACCCAGCCAUGCCGCGUGCAGGAAGAAGGCGUUCUGCGUUGUAAACUGCUUUUAUAUAGGAAGAAACGACCCUUGCGAGGGGCAUUGACGGUAUUAUAUGAAUAAGCACCGGCUAACUCCGUGCCAGCCGCCGCGGUAAAAC
rnacentral:rRNA from 1 species